CUCAGUUAUGGCUACGCAUAGCCUUCUCUUUUGAGCUAAAUGUUGGAUUCUGUUGCGGCGGCCUCUAGUUCGCUUGGUGCAGGUUCCUGCCUUGCAUCAACUGAAUCAGAGGCCGCGGUGAAUCAUUAUUUCCGGCUGGUUUAUAUUGGAAGGAUUCACGUUCACGUGGAUCUGCGAUUGGUAUGGUAGAUAUCAAUUUUGAAUUCGUUUUCUUCGCAAUUACUCCUAGUUUUCCCCCGGAUCUGAUUCGUUUGUUUUUCUGCAUUGAGCAUGAAUGAUAGAUCUCGUUUUCUGCAUUGACAGACACUCUAUGCAGAUUAAUUAGUGUAGUUUUCUAGCUAAGAAAAAAAAGUUUCUCAAUAGCAGAUUCUCCUUUCAGCUGCUUCUGAUGCGAAAAUACUGGAUAAUUUAUAGAACUUGAGUAUCAAUGAGAUCUUAUUUGUUGUUUUUUAUCAGGUAAAUUAUAUCCAGUAGUAGCUCUUCUUCGAAAUCCACUUGAAAAAUACUGCUUUCUGAGAAAACGUUAAUGCAUUUCCCAUGGUUGAUCCUAAUUCCUAAGCCUAGUGUGAUUUUAGAAUGAUAAUUAUGCUAAGAAGCAUGAGUUACAUUGGAUCCAUGGUAAAGAAUGAGUUUUGUAAUUUCGUUCACUACAUGUAUGUCUGUUUUGUGAAUCAUGUGAGUUGUUUCCCAUUAUGCUAUUCCUCAUGUUGCAGUGGAGUAUAUGUCUGAAAAGUUGAAAUGGAUUUGGGAAUUAUAUUGCCCAUGUGGCUGUGUUAUGGGUCAUAGCUUUGUCUUCUACUGACCUGAAAGAAUAUAAUGGCACGCUCUCUUUUAGUGCUUGGGAGACUAAUUGGCAUAUUUCUAAGAAACCUGUGUUCUUAGUUGUCGUUUUAAACUGCAUUUUACUGUAGUAGUACAUGCAUAGUUACUACUUCCACUUGGCAUAUAAAAUAGCCCAAUUGAAACAAUCAACAGCCUCAAGAUUUGUCUUUUAGAAUGAAGACAGAGUGCUCUAAUAUAAAUUCGGACUGUUAUUUUUGUCUGAAAUAAAUUCUCAAGCAUGUGCAUUUUUUGCUUUCACGAGUUCAGUAAGCUUCUCCUGCUUGUGAAGCUAUUCAUUAGUAUAUUCUUGCAGUAUCAUACCUGCCAUAUUUGAUUAUAUAGACUGAUGAAGGGCUCGUGUUGGUUAUAAACUCUGAUGUUUAGUUUUUGGCUUGGCGUUGAUGGCAUGAACUAAGGUGUGCAAAUUCUUGACUUCCUUAAACUGUUUCAGCCUUUCAAACUCUUGAGCCGAACUUGAGCCAUAAUCGUGCAAGUUCGUGCGAGUCAUUUUUUGGUUAUUUUUUCAAGUGAGUUAUGACUUGCAAAAAUAUAGUUCAACUUGUUAGUUUCCAUUUAUUAAUACUAAUUCUAGUUGCUGUGAACAAAUCUUGUGAUGAUCUUUGCCAUCUCCAAUGUCUCAUUGAUGAGAUCCACCGGCCUCCUUCAUGAAGGCUGAGCUCUAGUAUGUGAUUAUCUGCACUACGUUCUGGAUAGCAUCCAUGUUCUCAACACAAUCAGGUCUGUCAGACGAGCAAAGAUACACAGUACCUUUGGGGCAAUCCACUAAAAUAUUCACAAAAGUUCGGUCAUUGGCAUCUAUCCAUCCAUCGAGCAAGAUGCUACAGCCAGUGUCAGCCCACGAUCUUUUGAUCUCAUCCACACGUGAGGUCGUUUCCUUCAUCACAUCCCUGAAUAUCCACCCUUUUAACUCCUCGAUAGUAGGAGCUUGACACUGCAUCCUCAUUGAGUGAAAAAGAGAUCCUGCUCUGAAAGCUUGGUGAAAUCUACAGACGGGCAAUUUGGCUUCCUUGAUCAGUGAAAGACAAUAUUAACGUAUUAAAUUGUGUAAAUGAUUCGAGUCAAUUUAAGUUGGAUUGGAAUCCUGUGAGUUUGCGUGGUUUUGUUCGGUGUACUAUCUCAACUUUUGCUAGUUAGAGCCAAUAAGUAAUAAUGUUAUAAUGAAUGACUUCGGGCAAGUUUUAUGAUCUGGCUUGCAAAAUGCGCACGAUUUAUAAUAAAUUUAGACUCAUGCACAAAAAAACUUGUGCGGUUUCGCUCCAA